UACGGGGGGGGCAAGCGUUGUUCGGAAUUACUGGGCGUAAAGGGCGCGUAGGCGGCCCGCUAAGUCGAACGUGAAAUCCCCGGGCUCAACCCGGGAACUGCGUCCGAUACUGGUGGGCUCGAAUCCGGGAGAGGGAUGCGGAAUUCCAGGUGUAGCGGUGAAAUGCGUAGAUAUCAGGAGGAACACCGGUGGCGAAGGCGCACAUCUGGCCCGAUACUGACGCUGAGGCGCGAAAGCUAGGGGAGCAAACGGG
rnacentral:rRNA from 1 species